AAUAAAUAGAAUUUUUGAACAUUCAGUUUAGAUAAUAAAUCAACGGUUUUUUUGAGAAUCAUUUAAAAUGGCGGCAUAAUUUACUUUGGGGAAAUUUAUUGAUGGCGAUUGUGUUGAUGAUUAUAAAAAUAAUAAUAUAAAAAAAUAUUAAUAUAAUAAUAAUAAUAAUAAUGAUAUAUAUUCAAUGAUAAAAUGAUAAGAUGAUUCUAAGAUUUUAGUGGGAACUAAAAAUUUAAACAUGAGCAGUGUCAUUAACAUUUCAAAUAAAAAAAUAUACAAUAAAAUCAUGGGCUUCUGAAACUUGAAUGCAGGUUAAUACUUAAAAUAAAGAACAUUUACUGUUUUACAGUUUGCAAGAUUUCGAAACUGCAUGCGCCAAAGAUAAUUACUAUGCAAGAAGAGGCAAGACCCUUGACCCAGAAACCUUGUUAAAUGAAACAGGAAAUGCCGACAUGGUCGUCUGUAAGAUUGCCAGCAAGUCAAAUAAAGUCGCUCCUCAAUGGCUGUCAUCUCUGAUUGGUGAUGUUGUUGAUAAUGAAAGUGCAACAGUGAUUAGAGACCACAUCAGACGACAAACUUGUUGAUGAAUACGUGACAUGGAUCAUAGACAAGGCAGCUGACACUCUGAGACAGGAGUUGCCUAGCAACACUACGACCUUAACAGUGAGGCCAGCAGACGACAACAUAUCAUUGUCCUCCAGUAUCAUCAGCCAAAUUGCUGAUAUGGCUGUAACAGAGAGCUUGUCAAAUAUUGUGAUAGAUGUCGACACCAACCACUCUGCUAUAAGAGCUCCUAGAACUAUCAAAGAAUUCAAGG